CAUCAGUGGUUUCUGCUGGUAGUACCUUUCAUAUACCUAUCAGCAGUUGUACCACUGACGUC
rnacentral:pre_miRNA from 1 species